rnacentral:misc_RNA from 1 species
AAUCACAUUUGUCUCUUAAAGCAACAACACGGCAAGGUGAAAAGGGAAAUAUAAAAAAAAAACGACAAGAAAAACACGUUAGUUCCCUCUCCCCUCCCUUCUUUGGGUUUGCUCCCUCACGUUAUUCAUUGUAUUCCACCGAUAUUUCCUUUCAAACGAAGCAGUAAAACGCAACCGCUGUAUACAAAAAUAAAGAAGAGGGGGUGCAAGCCUGGCGUUUUUCAUCCAGUCUCACGGGCACCCACCCAACCAAUAUCCGCAGCAACCACCACCCGCUCCCGUUCAUCAUGGAGCACGUGCAGCAGUACAAGUUCUACAAGGAGAAGAAGAUGAGCAUUGUGCUCGCCCCCUUCUCCGGCGGCCAACCGCACAGUGGGGUAGAGCUAGGUCCUGACUACCUUCUCAAGCAGGGACUGCAGCAGGACAUGGAGAAGCUUGGAUGGAAUACAAGGCUCGAGAGGGUGUUCGACGGCAAGGCUGUUGAGGCUCGCAAGGCGAGCGAUAAUGGCGACAGGAUCGGUCGCGUCAAGCGCCCGAGGCUGACGGCGGAGUGCACGGAGAAGAUCUACAAGUGUGUGCGCAGGGUGGCCGAGCAGGGCCGCUUUCCUCUCACUAUCGGCGGCGAUCACUCCAUCGCCCUCGGCACGGUGGCCGGCGUGUUGACCGUUUACCCGGAUGCCGGCGUGAUUUGGGUGGACGCCCACGCGGACAUCAACACUAUGUCUGGUACGGUCUCCGGUAACUUGCACGGCUGCCCCUUAUCGAUCCUGCUGGGGCUUGAUCGCAAGAACAUUCCCGAGUGCUUUUCGUGGGUACCGCAGGUGCUGAAGCCGAGCAAGAUUGCCUACAUUGGUCUACGUGCUGUGGACGAGGAGGAGAAGAAGAUCCUGCACGACCUGAACAUCGCCGCCUUCAGCAUGCAUCACGUGGACCGCUACGGUAUAGACAAGGUGGUGUCCAUGGCGAUCGAAGCCAUCUCGCCGAAGGGCACCGAGCCGGUGAUGGUGUCAUACGACAUCGACACGAUCGACCCCCUCUACGUGCCGGCGACGGGCACUCCCGUGCGUGGCGGCCUCUCUUUCCGAGAGGCGUUGUUCUUGUGCGAGCGUAUCGCCGAGUGCGGUCGUCUUGUCGCUCUGGACGUGGUUGAAUGCAACCCGCUCCUCGCCGCUACAGAAUCGCACGUGAAGGACACCAUCUCCGUCGGCUGCGCAAUCGCACGCUGCAUGAUGGGAGAGACACUUCUUUACACCCCACGUAAGAGCGCCAAACUGUAGAUGUGUGUGUGCGCGCUGCCUUCAAGCGUGUCUGCCGGCCUGUGUGUGUGUGUGUGUGUGACGAAAAGCGCUCAUUUUAGCUGUGCGUUCCUUUUCGUUUUUGUGCUUUUCAACGAUUCUUUUUCGUUAACCUUUUUUUGGGUCUUUUUUCUUGUUCUUCCUUCUACGUGUUUUCAAAUCCCUCGUCCCCGCAAGCACACACACACACGGAUGCACAGAAAAAAGGGAGAAAACACACACGCACAUGCGCAUGUGUUCCUUCCAAGGCGUUGAACGAUCGCUCGCGCGCACAUCUUCGCGCACCCAUAUCUAUAUAUAUAUAUAUAUAUAUAUAUAUAUAUAUAUAUCCCUCUUUUACCUCAAUCUUUCUAUGUCAGUUCAUCUCUGGAUUUGGUCGAGGAGUCGUGUCCACGGGGGUGUAAACGCGCUCUGUGGGAAUACGGAGUCAGGGGCGCAUGCACACACACAACGUAUCAGGGGAAGGGGGAGAGGCAUGUCAUGCGCAGUGGCUGAUGUGAUCAGCAUCGCCAAAGGCCUGCAUCUCCUUCCCCGUUCCUUGUGUGUUUGUGUGUGUGUCGCAUGCUGGCGGAAGUGAGUCAGCGCCUGGAAAACAACCCAAAAACGAGGUCAGCGGGUCAAAAAAAAAAAGAUGAGGGAUGGACAGGAGAGAACGGAGGGUGUGAGAUCGCUGCCACGACCACUGUUGUUUUGUUGCUCUCGUUCACUCUCGCGCUCCGUAGAUCAGCCGCCCGCUCCUCUCUCCUCUCUAUAGUUGUUGGUGUUAUGGCUACUUUGAGGGGUUAUCAACCGUUGAUUCUCUUCUUGUUUUUUUAUGUUUUCGCUUUAUUUUGGUUGUCUUCUGUUUCCCCCUUCUUUUUUACUGAUGUUUUGGUUUUGCCUUACGAAGCCGCCCUCCCCUUCGCUGCCUCUUCCCAUGCUAAACAUGUCUUCGUCGCGCAAGACAAACGCUCAUACAAAACCGGUGAGAGCUUCGUGUGGAGAGCACACAAAGAGAAGGGGGGACGCUUGAAGCGGCACACAUGAGCAGGCGGUGCGCGCCUGUGUGCACCGUCUGUAUCUGCAUCAUAUGCAUUGGCAGCAGUGGGGGAGGUGUCCGACGAGAAGGAAGAGGCGGAUAGCAGGUAUGACGAAAAACGGGAAUUUUGUCGGUCUCUGUGUUGCUCUCUCCUCUCCUCUGACAUCUCCCCACCCCACCCCACUUCAUCUCACUCUCCCUCCCGCCGCCCUUUUUCGUUUACCCCCUCCUCAUGCACGGCUUGAAAAAAAAAAUAUAUAUAUAUAAUAAAAG